rnacentral:siRNA from 1 species
ACGUUUGAUGGAUGUAGUAACAGC